rnacentral:misc_RNA from 1 species
GCAAACUUGGUCAUUUAGAGGAAGUAAAAGUCGUAACAAGGUUUCCGUAGGUGAACCUGCGGAAGGAUCAUUAUUGAAUAUGCCAUGAUGGGUUGUAGCUGGCCUCUUGAGGCAUGUGCACGCUUGUCUUGACUCUAUUCAUCCACCUGUGCACCAAUUGUAGUCGUUUUAUUCUCUCUGGAGUUAAGAAAUGUUGACUUUGUUCAGUUGAAACACACUGGAUCUGAGAAUUGCUUGGCUUUUCUCUGUUCGCAUUGUAAGCAUUAUCGUCCACUUGAGAAAAAGACAGACUAUGUCUUUUACUAUACACUCCAUUGUAUGUUGCCAGAAUGUAUUCAAUGGGCCUUUGUGCCUACAAAAUCUUAUACAACUUUCAGCAACGGAUCUCUUGGCUCUCGCAUCGAUGAAGAACGCAGC